ACACGGAUCCGAAAGACCCACCGACUUCAUCGCCUCUCUAAAUAGGACCCUUCCAUGGCUCUGAUUUCGGUAACCGCAGCCGAGGGAGCGAGACAAUGAGCAAGCGAAAGAGAAAGAGAAGCCUCUUGGGUUUACUCUUUGGUUCUUUAGCCUAGACCGUUUGUUUUUGGAUGAAUUACAGGGAAUGUGGAAUUCCUUCGGUUAGAAUUGAACUUUUCAUUUAUCUCUCUAAGAUCUUUGAUCCUUUGCUAGUUUUAUUUAUUUCUCAUGUUUUUGGUGCCGUUUCUCUUGUUGGUUAGUUCAGAUCGUUUUGAAUGUGAAUGAGUUUCGGAGGAUAUCAAGGUAUUUUGAUAAACAUUAAUCUUUUUGUGUUAUUUUCCGAGAUUCUUCAAUCUCUCUCUCUCUCUCUCUCUCUCUCUCUCUCUCUCUCUCUCUCUCUCUCUUUUGUUGCUUCUCAUGCUUGAUUUGGGCGAGUUACGGUGGGCGACCGAAUUAUUUGAAUCACAACCAAAUAUUCUGCUUAUUGUCUUUCAAGAUUUGCCAUAUUUAUGAGCCGGUACGGUUAGUACAUCUUGGAGCAUGUAUUUAGUUUGCCAUAUUUAGUUUGAAUCCUAUUUUUCAUCACAUGAACACUUUCACCUUCUCCGAGGCAUCUGAUAUAGAAGGGAUAUAGAAGUCCUCCAUUGUUAAGAUAAUAAUAAUAGAGGAACUAACGGAUUUUUUUUUAAAACAAAAGUUAAAGAGUUUCCACACCGAUAUAUCUGCGACUCUAAAACGUUGAAUCGGAGCGAGAUGAAUAAGGAGCUCUUCUAAUUCCUCGCUUUCAUAGAGGCCCAUCAAACUCAAUCUUCCAGUCGCUCUUUCUCCAGCUCCUCUGUGAGGCCCACCGAAAUGUUUGUUUCACUGCUUUUAGGUAGGGUUCUAUGAGAAGAGAGGAGCAGUAUCUCAUCCUAUCAAGUAUCCUCCCAAAACCUUAUGUUGUUGCCAUUACGCAAUCCGAAUUCUGUACAAGUCCAAAAUGGAAGAAAAUCCUUUGAGCUAUCCCUCCAUAGAUAAGAUUGAUUCCGAGUGGGAUGUCUUGUUCUUAUACCCAGCCUCUUUUUACGGUGGUAUGUUGAUUGGAUCAAGUCUUUCUAUCUCUCAGUCAACCCAGGUUUCAACUAUUUCCGAGCCUAUUUAGCUAAGAAAGAGCUAUUCAGAUUUCUAAUGUCCUUGAUCCCCAAUCCUCCUUUUUUCUUUAUAUCUAUACAUUCGGCCAGCUCACUAGAGAAUGAAACCCGCUGACCUUCUCGCUCUCUUUCCAUAAGAAAGAUCUUCGUAAUUUAUCAAUCCUUUCCUCGCCCAUACUGCUAGUUUGAACACAAAUAUUAAGUAGGUUGGUAAGGUAGGCAACACAGCAUUUACUUUAAGUGAAACACCCUCCCAAAGAUAGAAAUUUUCCUUCCAUGAAAUCAAUCUAGAUUCCAUUUUCAAUGCCAACACUUCUUUGGAACCUCUUUGUUACAAAGAGGCAUGCCAAGGUAAGUGAACCAUUUAAUGGUAUUUGCAGAAUCUUCACACAUGUUCAAGCCAUGGUAUGCUGAAUCGGCCCGUACCGGCUGGUUCGACCCGUACCGGACCGGUUUGGUACAACCGUGAAAAAUAGUUCCGGCUCCGAAAGGGUCGAAACCGAGCGGUACCAGUUGUGUACCGGUGCGCACCGGUGCGCAAAGGUACAAACCUGUUAUUGGUGCGAAUCGGACUGGUUUGCGCCGAUACGCGGGCGCGCGAGGCAGUAUGCUUGCGUACCCGCACGCCUACUCAUGGAAAAACGUGCCUGCAAAGGCACCCGCGCACGGAGAAACGCGACCGUGAUUUGGGCAAUGCGUCCCCCGCUUUGGGCAGCGCACCUACAAAGGCGCCCGCGCGGGUAAACGAGGAAGCGUGCCCGCGCGCGGGGGAAGCGAAACUCGCCCGCGUACGCGAGCGCGCUGGGAACUUUGCGGGUGCGCGCCCGUGCGCAGAAACUGUCUAAACUGGUUUGGUAUCGGUUUUCACCAGUACGCCGAUCAGUACUGGUUCGCCGUACCUUGGUUCAAGCAAAUUAUUGACCUUUUGUGAAAGUUAAUACUAAUCCUGACAGACUUUUAAUAAGAAAUGGUAGAUCAUCUUUUCUAAAAUGUUUUAUUUGGAUGAAAUGGAUGCAUUUGAAAUAUGUGUCUUUGUGGCAAGAGAAAGAAGAGCAGCCUCAAAUAUUAGAGCUGAAUGGGAUAAUGCUAUUGCUGCAAUCUGUUGAGUGGUUUGGUUGGAGAGAAAUACUUGAAUUUUACUACAAAAGGAGUAUUUAGCUAUGAUGGUGCUGGGAAAUCUUAACUCGUUGAUAUUUGAUUGGAGAAAUAGUGUUGGAAAAGUUUAAGGGCAUGUUUGGAUAUUCCUGCAAGAAUGAUGCCUAUUGGCCUGCCUAGCCUACAUUUUCUAAGAGCUCCCGUAAGCUCAGAAGGAAAAAAGAUUCAUGGAGGUCUUUUUUUUUCUUUUUACCACGGGUUGGAAAGUGUUGGGUUAGCAUAGGUCAUGCUCAAAUAAACUUCCUAGUCCAUGAAUCCAACAGAAAAAUUCAACCCAAAUCCUCCCGAAUUACUAAACAAUCCUAAGUCUAUUUGUUUACCUAGGGGUGAGGUGUGAUAGGACCAGACUGGGAUAUAUUUCCUGGUGGUUUUUUUUAAUUGAUAUUUUCUUUUUUGAGAAAUAUCUCUUGGUGGCCUUGUGCAGAUUUUCUAAUUGGUUUAGGAAGGUUGUGUAUAAGUUGUUGCUUUGGGUCUUCUCUCUCCCUUCUUCGUCCUCUCUCCUUCUUUCUCCAUUCUCAUUUCAUUUAUCAAUAAAAUGUGAGAUGAUUUUAUUCUCCAUUUUGCUUUAAAAGAUAAGUCAUAAAUAUGUUAGUGAAAACAAUGGGAAACUUGUUUAAGCUUUUACUAUUGGUCUCUUAACUUUCUUUUUUUAUAAAAAAAUCUAUACCUUAUUGUUGCAACAUACAUGCGUUUAUCUGCCACACAAGCAAAAUGAGCAGCAAAGAUGGAGCCCUGAGGAGAUUGUGGACGGAACUUACGGCUAAAAACCUUUUUUUCCCCAUUCUUCUCUAGUCGUUUCUCAUAGCUCUAUAAGUAGGAAGUAGUAAGUAUCUUGAAUAUUUAUUUGGAGCAGAACAUGCCUUAGCCAUUCCAUCCAUACCUGUUUUUCCUUCUGUUUUUUUUCUUCUAUUUUUUUAAUUCAAUGAAGGUGUUGGCUCAGCCUGGUGGUGAUGUCUUUUGGUGGUCGUUAAGACCCAGACUUCAAUCCAACUUUAUCUCCGGUUUGGGUUUGGGUUGUACCUUUCACACAAAAGAAUGAUUCACCUUCUUUUGCAAUGCCAACCAUUAGGUGCAAUAGCCACUUCAAGGCAGCUGGAAGAGAUUUGAGUGCUUUGUGAUAUGUGCACUAUAUAAUCCAACGGUAGAUUUGUGAAAGAAGAUGCGAAAGAUACGACCCAAACCCUUCACGUAUUGGGGCAGUUUUGGGGUAUUAGAGAGGACUACAUGUAGUAUAUGACAAAUCACCAAAAAUAUAUGCAAAUUGAGAUUUUCUUUAUGAUUGGAUAUCCAAUUUGAUGACCUGACCUGAUUCGCUUGGUUGCUUAGAUUAACAUUAAGUUAUUAAAGCUGGAUUACCGGAAUUUUGUGGUCAUACAAUUAGUCUCCUAACACGAGCCUAAUAUUUACUACUCGCGUCGGUUCUGCAUGGCAUACAUUAUUGAUUAAUUAUAAGCCCGAUUUCUCUAGAACUUCUAUAUAAAAUUUAAAUUAUUAUAGAGACACAGACAAGGGAUACGAAUACAAGCCUCAUAUAGUGCACCAAAUGAGCAAACAUCCAUGUGUCAUCUACUGUGCUACUUCACUGGAAAUUUAUAGUUCCCAGGGACUGAAAUGACCCUCAACCCACCAGCCCAAAGUUGCAAAGAUGACCAUCUCAUUCUUAACGUACUCUCUUGAGUUGGGGUUGUUUUGAACGAAUUGAAAGCAUGAUUCUAAGUAAAUGGAAGAAAAAUGGUGCCGGUUGCUUUCUACUUUUCUUGAGAUUUUUUAAUCAGAGCUAUUAAAUUAUUAUAUUUGUGUUCCUCUAGGUGCUGAAUUUUUCCUCCUAAAUUUGUUCAGAGUUGGUAUUGUAACAACUAGCUCUCAUGAAAUUGGGAGUGGGGUUAACUUUAGGAAAAGAGUACCUGGUAUUAUAUAUCAACGAACGGGAACUUAUAUUCAACUUGGUAGGAGAAACUUUGUCCAAUAAACUCCGAAAGGAUGGUAACUUUAGUGAACAGGGAAUAGGAAUCGAGGAAAUGGUGGAAAAGGAUAGCAAAGCAAUGAACUUGAAAAAGUAGAGAGUACUUUAGUUGGGCACUACUCGCGGUUACAAUAUUCUUUGGGUUGCAGCAAAGAAAAUUCAUUAAUCAUUCUCAGACCAACAAUUAAACAUGUGAACGACCAAGACUCACGAAUUGCUCACAAACAAAACAUGAAUUACUUAUGAACUACAACUACCAGUUCUCCGUGCAUAUACUACUUAGUACAUAUUUCUCUUUCGGUGAUAAAUAAAACCGGAUGGCGUGUAGCCUCCCUUAUCAUCAAAAAGAAAAAAAAGACUUUCAACUAUAUGCUGUUCAUGUUGAUGUCCUUGGCAAGGUUUGAUUAGUUUGGCAUGCCGAAGAUUUCUGGAUCUUGGGAUGCGUGUAUGAUUGAAGGUAGCCAUCUUGCAACUUUAAUGCAUCAUGAAUAACUUCUGUAACUAGUGGAAAUUAUUAUUUUUCUAUCAAUCAUAAACCAUUUCUUGUUGUUUCUCGCUUGUGUUUAGAGUGCUAUAUGUAAUUAUGAUUUAGUUGACUAUUUCACCAUGUUCUCAAUAUAUACAUACACAUAAAACUGUGAGGAUGACAUUUUCUUCAUUCUGUUUCUUAAAUAUUAGAAUUUGUGCAGCCAAUGGGUGCAUGAGUGGAUGAUUUGUAGAUUGGGUUUAUUUAGCAUUUCUUGGUAGAAAGAGGGCAAGAAAAAUUGUAAGACGAAAUAUAUCCUCAUUGCAGCAUAAGUUUUUUGAAAUCCUUUUUUACCUAGAGGUGCAGAAGGUAUGGAACUAGUUCCUACUCUUACCUAACAUUAAUUUGAUCACCGUCGGCAUCAGGAUUUGGAUUCAUGUUUUUGACUCAUUCCACUGAUAGCUGGCUCAAUUUGAUUCCAAAAGAAUUUAGACAAGCCCAAUCCCAACUUAAUUGAGUGUUUGCUCUUAUUUGGAACUCACAUCAAAGUAACGCAAACUUUUGCAUGAAUCAGUCUCAAGUCAGUUCAAAGACAGGGUGGAUUCAAGUUUGCUCGACCCACUGGCAUCCCUACUUCCUAAUAUGAUCACGCGCAUCUCUUUAAAGUGGCAUUAUUUUGAGUCUUUGCGGGACGUCCAUACCAUAUUCUCAACAUGUUGAAAAUUAAGAACCAGAAUCAGAUAGAAAGGUUGUGUUUUUUUUUUUUUUUUUCGGGUGGCAGAUGGAAAGUUGAUAACGAAAGAUGCUUUCUCCUUUGGCGGUCAA